UUCACUUCCUCUUAGAAUCCUUCUUCAUAUGACACCCCUAAUUAGGCUCAAAAAGCAUUGAGAAAGGAGGGCAGUGAAGAGAUAUUUUUAUCAGUUACUGCAUUUUGAAAGAGCACUUGCAAUAAAACAAAAGGGAAAGAACCAGUGGAUAGAAGAUUCCUGAGAGGAGAACAAGGGAAGGAAUAGCAGAAGAGUGAGGACUUUCAAGCACAGAUGCAGGCAAAUGCCUCAAACUCCUAUUGUGAGGGAAACAAGAAAGCACCUUAUGUCCAGCCUGAGAAGGCACUUGUUAAGACUGCUAUUGAUAGGAGAGACAGUUUCAUCCUUACAAGAAAGACUCAAGAGCAUCUUCACUGUAACCACAGAGACUUGAUCACAGGCUUUACUCUUCAUCCA